rnacentral:lncRNA from 1 species
UGAGAUUUUUCUAUAUUUUAUUUUCUAUAUAAUAAUCUGCAGAUAAGUAUUAGGUACAAUUCACAACAUUUAAUUAAUACAAAAAUCCUUCAGGAAAAAAUGUGAAUAUUCAAAAACCACAAUUAUCAUAAAUACAGGUAUUAUAAACCCCUAAAUAUUAUAAAUAACAGGAUAAAAUCCCUAUAUCCAUCUACAAAUAGACAAAGCCAUAUCAUAAUGGGAGAAAAUCCCCAAAAUCAACAAAGCCACAAGAAAGCUCCAGCUUAUAAGAUAAUAUCAAACUGUUUACAGCAACUUUAAUGGCUGAAAACAUCUCACUGAAUGCUCCAGCUAACAAUGCUGAUAACAAUUUAGUUAAAACUCCAGCUAAGAAGGCUCAUAACAGCUAUGUGAAUGUUCCAGCUAGCUAUAUAUCUAUAUAGUAAAGCUGACAACUGUCUAGAUAUAAAAGUCAUAAUUAUUAAUUCAUUUGAGGAAAACAAAACUUUUGAUUAGUUCUAUCACACCUAUUUCUAUGAAAAUUAAACAAUCCAAUACUUUGUCUUCUGUAGGCUAAUUUUUAGAACAAAAAGAAAACAAAAUAAUAUUUCUUCUCUUACAAUGUAUUGAUGCUGUCUCACACACAAGUAACAAUAAUUCUGGGUAAUAUUUUACAUUCACCAAAACUACACCAAGUUAUUGACCAGUGAAAUGACCUAUGGACCCUUAUAUCGCUAUGUUUUGGGGUGAGAAAAUCAAUAAUCAAUGAUAUUCUAUAAAUAUAAACAAUUGCACACAUAGAUAAAUGUAAAUCUAUAAAAUAAUAACCUCUUAUUAUUGUGGUCAUAUAAUAUUAAACAUUAUUGCAGUUUAUAUAAAAAGUCAAACAAGAUGGGGUACUGUAAGAUCAUAAAACAUUUGUGAUGUUUUUACUAUUGUGAGAAUUAAGGACAGGUUUUGCAAAAAAAAAACUUAAAUUGCAUUCUUAAUUUUGUUGGCAUUAUUUGUUAGCAUCAUUUCCUUAAAUACUUAAACUUACAGUGAGUCAAAUGUUCAACAAUCACAAUAGUAAAUACAUGUACUAAUUAAUAGUAAAUACAUGUACAAAUUAAUAGUAAAUACAUGUACUAAUUAAAUAGUAAAAUUAAUAGUAAACAAUCAUAAUGGAACAAUUAUAGUAAAUACCAUCGUUACACAAUUUAAUAGUACAUACAAUGUACAAAUUGAAAUAGUAAAAUACACAUGUACCUAAUUAAGUAAAUACAUGUAACAAAUUAAAUAAGUAAAUACAUGUACUAAAUUAAAGUAAAUCAUGUUGACAAAUAUUAAAAGAAAGUACAUCGUAUAAUAUAAUGGACAUAACAUGUACAAAUUAAUUAGACUAACAUGAUACAAAUUUAGUACAUACAUGUACAAAAUUUAUAGUACAAGAACAUUACCCAUUGUACAUACAAAUUAAAUAGGUACAUACAUGUUAACAAAUAUAGUAAAUACAUGUACAAAUUAAAAGUACAAAUAACAAUGUACAUACAAAUUAAUAGUACUAACACAAUACAAAUCUAAUAGUACAUCAUGUUUGUAACAAAUAAUUAAUAGGAAUACAUGUACAAUUAAAUAGUACAAUACAUGUACCAUACAAAUUAAAUAGUACAAAACAUACAAUUAAUAGUACAACUACAUGUACAAAAUAAAUAGUACAACAAAAUAAUACCAUGUACAUGAGACAAAUUAUAGUACAUACAUGUACAAAUUAAUAGUAAAUAUACAUGUACAGAAUGACUAGAAUACUUCUACAAUAUAAAAU